GGCAGGGGCUCCUGUCUGGGGCCUCUGGUUCAGAGCUCAGAACAGCUCAGUGCCUGACGGGCUGUGGAGCUCACUUCCUUUAAGCAUGUACUACAGGCAUCUGCUGGUUCAGUGUGUAGUCAACAUUAACUCUGUUUUUAUCAAGGAAGGCAUUGGCUGGGGAAACACUUAGCAAGGCAGUGUUAAAGACACACUAUGACAGGCUGGGUAGGGCUCCGCCGAGAGGAGGCUUUGCAGAGUCUGGUGGGGGUCAUCCUCCCAACCCCACAGGCCAAUUCCAGAGGAAACUGCUCCCUUGUACAGCAGAACCAGACGUCAGAGCAUUCUGCUCCUCACCGCCUUUCUCCCAAGGAAACUAAAGAAUGGUUUUCUUGGAUCUUCCAGCUCUUUCGUGCAAAGCCUGGUGCCCCCCGCCUUCUCCUAGAAAUCAACCCACAGAUCCGUCCCUUGUGCCUGGGCUGUGGACCAAGCAAAGAGCUACUGGAGUCGGUGACGCUUAGCACACAGCCCGUUGCAGGAGCUCUGGCUUUCUUCAGCUCCUCCCCAUAGGGUGGUUGCCUCCGGACAGUUUGUUCUGAAGAACAGCAACAAAUUCUGGACCAUGAGCACUUGGACAGUAACUUAAAAUACACAUUCAGACGCUUUGAUCCAGCAAGCCUUGUGCCUAGGAGCUAUCGUGAAGAAAUGACCUGCUUAGCUGGAUGGGCUUUCAUGUAUCCGCAGUGUUUGAACUUUUUAUGGGAGCAGUGCUUGUGAGUCUUCUUGGUACUGGCAGAACCCUUCUUGACAGAGUGACUGCGGGGGAGGCCAGUGUGCCCUUCAUCACCGUGAAUGGGUCAGAGUUCCUGGAAAUGUUGGUUGGCGUGGGUCAGCGAGGGUUCGUAACAUGUUUGCAGUGGCUCGAAAAAAACGCUCCUUGUAUCUUACUUAUUGAUGAGAUUGAUGCCAUUGGCGGAAAGCAAGGCCAGGGGCACCGUGGCGCCCGAAAUGAGCAGGAGAACACACUGAACCAGAUGCUUGUGGAGAUGGACAGUGAGCGGAUGCCAGUGACAGCCGCUGAGACCAGGGUUCGCCUCUCCACGAGCACUGUGGUGCUGGCUGGCCCCAGCUGCCCUGCCAUCCUCCACCCGGCCCUGACGUAGCCUGGCCUGUCUGACCGCCUGAUGCUUGUCAGCACCCCUGACGUCAGAGACAGGUCCUCCAUCUUCAGGGUUCACCUGUGCCCGCUGAAGCUAGACAAGAGCCUCCAGAAGGACACGCUAGCGGGAAAGCUCCUGGUGCUCGUGUGGUGCUUCCCGGGUCUCGAGAAGAAGACGCAGGUGUGCGGCCCAGUGAGAGGGUGACCGUGGCCUCCCCUGAGGGCAGACACUUGGCACUCUGCUGAUUCCUGAAUCCUGUGGACCCUGUGCUGGAGGUCAUUGUGGGUGUUUACCUUCUCCAGGUGAUUGUGUGUGGCCUCUGGUCAUGAGGGCACAGUAUGUUCACAGCGGCCGCCCUUUUACUUUUCAAGGAAUGUAGUGGUUUAGAAUUGGGUUCAAAAGAUUGUUCAGGGACGUGCAGCAGUAAGGAGUAGGGUGUUGACUCCCCGUGGGAUCUGGAUGGCGGACUCCUGACACCCCAGAGAUCUGAUGUUAAACUCGGCUCACUUCUAAGCUUUGGACCCAAAAGGUGGGCUCUACGAGAACUUCCUUAGGACUGAUAGGAUGGAGGUGGUUUCCAUGCUAAUCUUUGGGGUGACUCCACCCAGACCCACCAAAUCCUGGGCGGAGACCAGGGGUCUGUCUCCUCCUCCCAUGCCCUUGUGGCCAGUGGUCAUAGUAGGGCAAAUUGGUCUGGGAUGCUUCAGAGGUGGGACCUGGAAGGGGCAGGAGCUCUGCAUGGGGAGUAGAGGCUGGGACCACAGGCCUGUGUCUUCUAGGUGUCCAUCAUCCCCCGGCACAGAGGGCUCAGCUGUUCCCAGUGCUUGCCCAGGGAGCAGUAUCUGUCCACACGGGAGCAGCCCUUUGACCUCAUGUGCAUGAUGCUGGGGGCAGGGUGGCUGAGCAGAUGUGUUUUGGGUGGCUCACCCAGAGGCCCAGGAUGACUUGAGGAAAGUCACCCAGAGCGCCUCUGCCCAGGUAAAGGUCAGCCGCCCUCGUUGGGGGCUCUGCAUGGCUGAGCCCCUCCAGGCUCAGCCCCACCUCCUUGUUUCCAGAUUGUGCGCUUUGGAGGAGCGAAGAGCUGGGACAGGUAUACUGUGACCUCUCCCGACGAGGCGAGAUGCUGGUAGGGAAGCCGUAUGGCGAGGCCACGGGCCAGCUCAUUGCUAAGCAGGUGGGGCACCUGUGACGCCAGUGAGUGGGACCUGGACCUGCUGACCCGGUGCCGAGAGCAGCUGGAGUGGGUGGGCAGGUGCUGCUGGAGGAGGUGGUGCUGGGCGAGGCGGACACGGUGGUGCUGCUGGGUCCCGGCCCUCUGCGGAGAACCGGCCUCUGUGAGCAGUCUGUGGACGGCACCAAGGCAGCGGCAGCCUGCAGGAGGACGUCUCCCUUCCCCAGGGGCUGAAGGGCUGGAGCCGGGGGCGUGAGGAGGGCAGUGCAGAGUGCUGCCUCCAGGAGAGCCCAGCCUAGUGACCUUGGCUGUGCAAGCAGCUGCCCAAAUCUCUGGAAAACAAAUUAAAACAUGGUAACAGCAAAUGGGUGUUUUAGAUGCCGGUCCCCAGUCCGCGGGGCAAGCAGUGCGGCUGUAAGUCCCCUGCCCCCUGGGGAGCCAAGAGUGUGUGGCUUCCUGGUGGGGUUUUGAGUUUAGACCUUCAGGGGCCUCCCACAAAGGGAGGGGGUGGUGGGUGGGUUUGGUGGGGAUGGCUGCCUCACGGGCAAGUGUGAAUGCUGGUCUCUUUAACUGCCCCAAGGAGAGGAGGUUUUGGCUGAGUUCAGAAAUUCUGAAGGUUCAGUGAAGUGGCGGAAUAAAGAGAAGGGAGAUCUAAGUCAGUGCCCAAGAGAAAGUGUUAGUUUUUUGGAAGAGCUGUUUGGGUUGGUGGAAGGCCUGUCAGUGGUUCUCGAGGAAACUCCACACUUUGCCCAAGUGUGUGGUUGGGGAAGGGUAAUGGAGCCGUGGGGUCCCGAACCCUCGCACACCCGGCACCUGGAUGCUGCUCUGAGCACGAGGGAGGCACCUUCUUAGGCAAAGCAGCCCCUGUUGCCAGGGUAGGUAGCUUUACCGACAAGGGUGUGUCUGGAUUUAAUUCCCUUUUUCAGCAAGCCGUGUUCCCUGCUACCCCCUUUAGUUAGAAUCACAGACGGGGUUCUGGACUGAGCUGGGACCCCCUUGGUUGUAUGUGGAGAGCCCUGUUGUUGCUGCCCCUGGUAACCUCUUCCUAGUGUUGUGCAGCUGCCCCACAAAAGAAAGCAGGUCCUGGGUUGGGAGGUCUUGCCCUCUGCUGCCGUGGAUCGUCUGGUUGAUCUUGGAGCCUGGCCAGGGCCCAGCCCGGGCGGCGGGGGUCAGGACUGGCCUGGGGCUCGGACAACGUCCUGCUUUUCUCCAUGCAGCCUGCCUCCCAGAGGCAUCAGAAGCUUGGCCGUAGAGGGCGGUCAGCCCUCAGGUUGGGGGUAUGUGUGUGUCCGGGACCCCUGGUGUGCAGGGCCUCCUGGAGACGGGGGGUGUCCCUACUUGCUGCCCCAUAGGACCUCUGCUCUCUGCUUGGCCAAGACCAGACGCUGGCAUUUGCUUAAAAAUUCCCAAAUCGUUUGUUAGGUCGGACUAAAAAAGUAGCAUUUCCAGCUCGGGACAAGCACUUCUAAGUUUUGUUGUUUGUAAAACAUGCCACUGUUGAAUUUCUUACACCCCCAGAGCCCAUUCUCUAAUGAAGUGUCCAGUAAACUCUGCCUUCCUUAGCUGAGCUAAGGGGGGGACCUGCCGGGGGACCUGCCGGGGUCCUGUCUGGGGCUCCCUCUGAUGGAGGGGAGGGUGCUCUGUGCUGUCCAGAGCCUGGGGACCUGUUCAUUUUGAGGCUUGCUACAGCCCCUCUCUGGGGUUGAGGGCCUGCUCUCAGCCCACCUGGGUGCUUCCCAUCUCCAACCCCUGCUGUCUCCUGCCUUGGAUGCCCUCAUGCUCUCCUCUCCUGAGUCUCCUUAGUGCUUCCCUUCGCCCGUUUGGGCCACCAGGGCUCACGUGAUGCAGGCCCAGGGAUGGACACCUGGCCUGGAAUAUUCCAUGAUGAGGGAGCCGUAGGCUUUUCUCUGGAGAGCCCAGUGGGAGGAACUGCCUGGCCUGGGGCCCAGGGCCUGUUCUCUGGGCCCUUUGUUUCACGUGUAACCCAAAGGAUUGGGGUUUUGGCCUCACUCUUGGCCCUUUCCUCAAGACCUUAUCUCUGGGCUCUGGGUCUGGAGCUUCCUGGGACCCUGCCUGGGGAGGGAAGAUUUGCCGGAGUGCACCUUGGGCCUUUCCAGGCCUGGGCCUGGGGUGGGGGGUGAGGGGCAGGAUCUUCAAUUCCUAAAGCCUAGAAAUCCAGGACGCUUGUCCCUGAGACAUGGCCCAAAUAAGCAGCACAGAGGAACCCCCAGUGGCUUCAGCUGGAGGAGACCAGAGCAGAAGUUCUGCUCCUUGAGCAGCCAGCCCCACCCCCGCCCCCCAGAACUCACUCCUGAGCUCUGGGGUCACCUGGAAAAGAGAAGAGGCUGUGCUUGAGCCUUAGGAAGAGGUGAGAUUUUAAUCAGAUAUUUUGUAAAUAAGCUCUGUGGAAGGAAGCCGUAGCAGGAAGCCUGGGGGCUGGGGAGCGCUGUCCUG